AGAGUUUGAUCAUGGCUCAGGACGAACGCUGGCGGCGUGCCUAAUACAUGCAAGUCGAGCGGAUUGAUGGGAGCUUGCUCCCUGAUAUCAGCGGCGGACGGGUGAGUAACACGUGGGCAACCUGCCUAUAAGACUGGGAUAACUUCGGGAAACCGGAGCUAAUACCGGAUAAUCCCUUUCCUCUCAUGAGGAAAGGCUGAAAGAUGGUUUACGCUAUCACUUAUAGAUGGGCCCGCGGCGCAUUAGCUAGUUGGUGAGGUAACGGCUCACCAAGGCAACGAUGCGUAGCCGACCUGAGAGGGUGAUCGGCCACACUGGGACUGAGACACGGCCCAGACUCCUACGGGACGCAGCAG
rnacentral:rRNA from 1 species